UUUUUCCACUCAGUGGGUGGAUAGAAGAUAAAACAUUUCUUCUUUGGAAAGAACUUUCGAAUACAGAGUCGGGGCAAGUUGUAUUUUUCAACCUCUUUGCAGUUCCGGAUUGUGUGCAGCUUUGUAACAUGAGCAGUGGAGUAAGCAAAGAGAUGAAUGCAAUCUGAUAACAGCACUUGGAAAAUGGCAGCCAAAGACACUGCAAAUUAACAUAGCUAAUAUUGGUUCUAUUGAUAGGUGGUAUCAAUCUCUGUACCUUCCUUGAGCUUCAGCGAAUUCUCCAGGUACUCAUCUGCUGUGACGCGGACUCCAUUUAUUUCCAGUUUCAAGGUCAUAUCCCUCAGGCUCCACACAAAGUCAGGGAAGAAGCUCACAAACUCAGCUGAGUCCUCCACCUCGUCCUCCUGGUCAGGAUAGGAAUGGUUUCUGCCUUCAAAAUGGAACUGAAGAUAGUAAAGCGUGUUAUGGAACUGACUGACUUCCUGAAACAGAAUGAAGAUAAAAAGUCUAACAUUGAGAAGGAGAUUAGGUUUCAGAAUCCAUCUCCUCUAACUUUCCUCCUCACAACAGAAGCUCCAAGUGUGGCUGAAUAUGGGGACUCUGUAAGACAUUGCUGGUGGAACUCACCCGAUUUCUUCCCAGCCAGCUUGUUCAUCAGAAACAGGUCACCCUGGACUAGAAACUCUUCCAAGGACUUGGUGGGUGUGAAGGAGGGUCCCAGAAAAAAAAAUAUAUACUUCAGUUAACAUUCUACAAAAGCUUGACUCACUGGUGGGAACUUCAGUGACUUUGGAGAGCUGGAACGUUGAAGACCCAGAGCCAAAUUAUCUUUGCUACCUCAGACUCAAGAUCACAUUUAUUGUCCUCUUCUGUGUUUGACCUAAGAUCCUGCUAUCAGGUAUGAUCAUUUUGGAAAUGUACAAACGGAGCCCUGGCUUCUACCACCCAAAGGGUGACAAUGUAGUCAGAGAGCAUCGAGGACUGUUUCCUUACUGUGCUCUAAGUGACCGACCUGAUGCUUCCAGAAAUAUGCUUGGACAUAUCUUCAUCUAUGACUUUUAUUUUGUUCUGUAAUUAAACUUUAUGUAACUAUUACCCUGUUGGAACCUGGUAUUUGGGAUGACCCACACCUGCAAAUUAUUAAAAUUUAAUGCUAACAACUCAACUCUUCCUUUAAAUUCAUCAUGAGAGAAUUUCCUUUUGGAUUCCAAUUUUAAAAUUUA